AAUCCGCCGGAAGGAGGGCGCAGCAUUGCCGGUCUUCUCAUUGCCUGGCUGCUAGAGGAAACCCGAAGUCGGGAUUCUUUCUUUCCUGCUCUGAGAGGGACCAGGUCCCUCCUCCGUAGCUUUUGUCUCUCUAUUGCCUGCGCCGUGUCCUGGACUGCUCACGGGAGUUCUGCAGGAGACGCCGGAAUAUCUGGAAGCUGAAAAAUGGAAAUAAAUGGAAAGACCAGAAUAUUGAAGAUCACUACAGAAAUCUAAGGAUGAAAUCAACAGCCAAUCUGGGUGCCAUUGAGACAUCUAAAGCCUUACUAUGAGCCAGAUACCCAGGAAGAGGUUUUGGGAGGAUCCCAAAGACUCCCUGGUUGCAGCCAUGUCAAGACUGAUGCUGAGGAGGACCCCAACUGUCACGAGCAACAACUGCCUGGGGACAGAUCAAGAAGCUGUCACAGAUGGCAGAGAAAAACCUGAGAAAAGCGGGACAACCAGUCACAAUGAGUAAUUUAAUGAUAGCUAUGACAGUGGUGAUCACCAUUGCCAUGAGUAUUCCUUCAACAAGGGCUGACACAGAGAACAAUUACACUUAUUGGGCAUAUUUAUCAAUCUUGGCUGGCAAUAAUGCCUGGAUGUGAUCACUCUAUGACACAGUUACACAUGCUUUCUGGUCUCAGUAUUUACCAUAAUAAUCUGCUCCUAUAAUUGAGGCAUACUGCCCUCAAAAAACUAUUUGUAAACAGGAUUGGACCUGGUCAGAAAAAAUGAACGUACUUGUUUGGGAAGAUUGCAUUGCAGAACAGGCAGAGGUGCUGCACAACGAUUCCUAUGGAGUCAUUAUUGAUUGUUCCCCUAAGGGGAUGUUUAGCUUGAAUUGCACCUCUCAGUCUGCCUGCCAUGGCCACACUAUGUUCAGCUGGUCUGAACAAAAUGGUCAGAUGGUAGAAAUGAUAAGAAGUAUGGCAAGAGUUCCUAUUAUCUGGAAACAUGGUGGUAUAGUGGCACCUCAACCUCAAAUGAUAUGGCCUGCUGUAGGAGCUAAACAUAAGGAUUUGUGGAAACUAUUAAUGGCUCUUAAUAAGAUCAAAAUUUGGGAAAGGAUAAAAAAGCAUCUAGAAGGACACUCUAGAAACUUGGAUAUUGCAAAAUUAAAAGAACAAAUAUUUAAAGCAUCCCAGGCACACCUGACCUUAAUGCCAGGAACUGGAGUGCUUGAAGGAGCUGCAGAUGGAUUAGCAGCUAUUAACCCAUUAAAAUAGAUAAAAACAC
ensembl:lncRNA ZNF433-AS1 ZNF433 and ZNF878 antisense RNA 1